rnacentral:rRNA from 1 species
GUGGGGAAUAUUGGACAAUGGGCGAAAGCCUGAUCCAGCCAUGCCGCGUGUGUGAAGAAGGUCUUCGGAUUGUAAAGCACUUUAAGUUGGGAGGAAGGGCAGUAAGUUAAUACCUUGCUGUUUUGACGUUACCGACAGAAUAAGCACCGGCUAACUUCGUGCCAGCAGCCGCGGUAAUACGAAGGGUGCAAGCGUUAAUCGGAAUUACUGGGCGUAAAGCGCGCGUAGGUGGUUCAGUAAGUUGGAAGUGAAAUCCCCGGGCUCAACCUGGGAACUGCUUUCAAAACUGCUGAGCUAGAGUACGGUAGAGGGUGGUGGAAUUUCCUGUGUAGCGGUGAAAUGCGUAGAUAUAGGAAGGAACACCAGUGGCGAAGGCGACCACCUGGACUGAUACCGACACUGAGGUGCGAAAGCGUGGGGAGCAAACAGGAUUAGAAACCCCGGUAGUCC